rnacentral:tRNA from 1 species
UCGGGCUUCGCGAGGUCGGCGAGUCCGGUGACCUUGCCGGGGUUGCCCUUCGGCACGACGAGGGUCAGCACGUUCGUCGCGAACAGCUCGGGC